CAGAGGGUGCGAGCGUUGUCCGGAAUCACUGGGCGUAAAGGGCGCGUAGGUGGCCCGACAAGUCUGUGGUGAAAGCUCGACGCUCAACGUCGAGUCGGCCAUAGAUACUGUUGGGCUGGAGCACUGUAGAGGCUCAUGGAAUUCCGGGUGUAGCGGUGGAAUGCGUAGAGAUCCGGAAGAACACCAGUGGCGAAGGCGGCUCACUGGACUGGUACUGACGCUGAGGCGCGAAAGCGUGGGGAGCAAACGGGA
rnacentral:rRNA from 1 species